rnacentral:rRNA from 1 species
GACGAACGCUGGCGGCGUGCUUAACACAUGCAAGUCGAACGGAAAGGCCCUGCUUUUGUGGGGUGCUCGAGUGGCGAACGGGUGAGUAACACGUGAGUAACCUGCCCUUGACUUUGGAAUAACUUCAGGAAACUGGGGCUAAUACCGGAUAGGAGCUCCUGCUGCAUGGUGGGGGUUGGAAAGUUUCGGCGGUUGGGGAUGGACUCGCGGCUUAUCAGCUUGUUGGUGGGGUAGUGGCUUACCAAGGCUUUGACGGGUAGCCGGCCUGAGAGGGUGACCGGCCACAUUGGGACUGAGAUACGGCCCAGACUCCUACGGGGGGCAGCAGUGGGGAAUAUUGCACAAUGGGCGGAAGCCUGAUGCAGCAACGCCGCGUGCGGGACGACGGCCUUCGGGUUGUAAACCGCUUUCGCCUGUGACGAAGCGUGAGUGACGGUAAUGGGUAAAGAAGCACCGGCUAACUACGUGCCAGCCGCCGCGGUAAAAC